rnacentral:rRNA from 1 species
GACGAACGCUGGCGGCGUGCUUAACACAUGCAAGUCGAGCGGUAAGGCCCUUUCGGGGGUACACGAGCGGCGAACGGGUGAGUAACACGUGGGUGACCUGCCCUCAGCUCUGGGAUAAGCCUGGGAAACCGGGUCUAAUACUGGAUAUGACUCCAUGACGCAUGUUGUGGGGUGGAAAGCCUUGUGCGGCUGAGGAUGGGCCCGCGGCCUAUCAACUUGUUGGUGGGGUGAUGGCCUACCAAGGCGACGACGGGUAGCCGGCCUGAGAGGGCGACCGGCCACACUGGGACUGAGACACGGCCCAGACUCCUACGGGAGGCAGCAGUGGGGAAUCUUGCGCAAUGGGCGAAAGCCUGACGCAGCGACGCCGCGUGAGGGAUGACGGCCUGGUGU